AAAGCGUGCGCAGGCGGUUGUGCAAGUCUGAUGUGAAAGCCCCGGGCUUAACCUGGGAACGGCAUUGGAGACUGCACGACUAGAGUGCGUCAGAGGGGGGUAGAAUUCCACGUGUAGCAGUGAAAUGCGUAGAGAUGUGGAGGAAUACCGAUGGCGAAGGCAGCCCCCUGGGAUGACACUGACGCUCAUGCACGAAAGCGUGGGGAGCAAACAGGAUUAGAUACCCGUGU
rnacentral:rRNA from 1 species